rnacentral:rRNA from 2 species
CAUAGAGAGCUUGCUCUCUGAUGGCGAGUGGCGAACGGGUGAGUAAUAUAUCGGAACGUACCUAGUAAUGGGGAACAACCAGCCGAAAGGUUGGCUAAUACCGCAUACGACCUACGGGUGAAAGCAGGGGAUCUUCGGACCUUGCGUUAUUAGAGCGGCCGAUAUCUGAUUAGGUAGUUGGUGGGGUAAAGGCCUACCAAGCCGACGAUCAGUAGCUGGUCUGAGAGGACGAUCAGCCACACUGGAACUGAGACACGGUCCAGACUCC